GUAGGUGGCAAGCGUUGUCCGGAAUUAUUGGGCGUAAAGCGCGCGCAGGCGGUCCUUUAAGUCUGAUGUGAAAGCCCACGGCUCAACCGUGGAGGGUCAUUGGAAACUGGGGGACUUGAGUACAGAAGAGGAAAGCGGAAUUCCAAGUGUAGCGGUGAAAUGCGUAGAGAUUUGGAGGAACACCAGUGGCGAAGGCGGCUUUCUGGUCUGUAACUGACGCUGAGGCGCGAAAGCGUGGGGAGCAAACAGGGAUUAGAUACCCUGGUAGUCCACGCCGUAAACGAUGAGUGCUAAGUGUUAGGGGGUUUCCCGCCCCCUUAGUGCUGCAGCUAACGCAUUAAGCACUCCGCCUGGGGAGUACGGCCGCAAGGCUG
rnacentral:rRNA from 1 species